GUGCGUGUCGGGAUAACCUGUGUCUUUUGUGUGUCCAGAUAAAGUUGUCUAUCACUGUCUGUAAAUGUUGAAGGUCCUCUUUCGUCACUUUUAUUGGCAGUGCUUGGAAAAGAAACCACUGGCUUGGCAGUAGGUUCAUUUUGAUUGCAUGGAGUCGGCCUAUCCACGAGAUAGGCUUUUAAUUCCAAUCGUCUAAGUCUUUGGUUAGGGUCUUUAACAAUGGGGUAUAAUUUUUUAUUUAGAGUCUGGUUAUUAUGUCAGGUGUUAAUUUGACUCUGAGAUACUUGAUAUGAUGAUGGGUCAGGUUAAUGUUACCAUUUUCCCCCAGCAGGGCCACGUCCCCUGCUGAUAACCCC